GAUACGCUGGGAGCCCGGCUAUAGUAAGGUGAAAUCAACCGAGAAAACAGAUAAAAUGGCAUAUGUGUAGCCGGCCCAAAUGUAUCUAUACAGGGGAGUACAUGAACAAAAACAACAAAACAAACAAAAACAAAAAUCAGUGUUGAGUCUCUUUGUGUAUAUCUCGUAAUCGAGGUACACCCUGUACUGGUAGCUGGGGCGGGACACAAAAACAAGUAAUUUUGCCAAAGAGUGGGGGCUAGGCUGCGUAUAUCAUAAGAGACUGGUGAUACUGGGUUUGACAGUGAUAAUCAUAAACAUAAAAAUUAAC